rnacentral:lncRNA from 1 species
CCAUGUGGGGUUUCGGAGUGAGUAGCAAAGUAACCACCUGUCCCUGUUUCUUGGGUCAGUCUGCCCUCAUUUAGAGUCAGAAGAUCACUGUCUUUGAUGUCCGAGUGUGGAGAAACUGAAUAGCACAGGAAGCAAGCCUGGGGCCCCACCCCUGUCUGGCCCAGAAGCACUGCUCUCCUGAGUCUCUGUCCCUAUCUGGAGCCCUGCCCUAGACUGACCUGCCUUUCUGCAGCUGACACAGGUGAAUUCAUGAAGACCGGGAAGGGCUCCUAAUAUUUCCAUCUGAAGCGGGAUCUCUGAAAUUUCAUAGACAUGCGGUCACGCACACAUCUUUCCAAGGUCUCAGAAGCACAACAGCUAUUCACAGCUUCUCUGAGAACAGACAAGGGGCUUGCAGAGCGACCACUGAGAGUGCAUGGACAGUCAGCACACUCCACCUCUACUAGCAGAAAGGAGUAACUUCUCAAGUGAAUGGUGAACACCUAUUUAUCAUGCCCAAGGCUGGCUGCUCCAGCCAGGGGACACAAAAAUCAGCAAAAUACAGACCCUACUUAAAGAGGACAUAUGGACAUUUUACAAAUUUUCUUGAGAGUAAAUUUGUAAUUUACAAAUUUCCUUGAUAAGAUGUGACCAACCAUCUCAAUUUGCUGAAAUGGAG